AAGUUAGUGGACAGUGGGCAGAUGCAGAUGAAUUCUUUAAUGAGGAACAGGCUAUGUGAAAGAGACCAGGCUAUUCGCAAACUGGAAAGGGAAAUAGAAGAUAAAGAUAGGGAAUUGCAAUCAAUUAAAUUAGACAACGACGCAGCUUGGGCCAAGGAUGAUCUUCUGCGGGAACAAGAUAAGGAAAUAGCAACUUAAAGUGGAAGAGGCACUAUCAGCAUUGACAUGUACAUGUGAUUUUAAGCAAGAACCAGGAGAGUGAGAGUUUUAGUGUGCCGUAUUUAGAAUUUGCCGAUAUCUUUUUCCCGUUUCAGCAAGUAUUCCUGAUAGUGGGGAUUCUUCGAGUAAUGCUAGAUAUUGGUUCUAACAACGAGAAGUUACUUAAUGAUCCUCUUUGAUUUAUUGGAGUUGAGGAGUCCCACAAUCUUUAUGUUCUGUUUGUUUCUCCAUCACUUUUUCAAGGCUGUUCAAUUGGAGUUCCAUCUUCAGGUUGACAUGAUUGUCUUGACAGAUGGAAGUCGUAUUCUUGGCCUCGGUGACCUUGGAGUUCAGGGAAUAGGAAUACCUCGGUGGUUACCUCGGUGACCUCUGUUUGUGUUUGCUAAGUUUCAACUAAUACUCUCAGUAUUUAUCUUUGUGCUUAUGUGAUAGAUUUCUUAUGCACUGUAGUGAUUUGGGGUGUUUUCUUAUUUUCUGCAUCUUAGCUACCUUAUUUGCUGCAUCUUAAUUGCUAACGAUUUAGGGAUCAUAAGCCUUGUCCUCUUUGUUGAAAAAAAAAAGUGGUUGUUUGAAAGAGGAAUUACUAUUACUAUUACGUCAAAUUACAUAUUGAAUGAAAAAGAAAAUUACAAUUUCUUUUAGCGCUAUGUAAUGGUAGUCAGGUAUAGUAGUCAUGCCUUUGCUCUAGCUUAUAUAUUCAUGUCUAUGUUACUUUCACACUUCUAUUUAUUAAUUUCAUGAAGUCAGUGGGUUUGCAAAAUGAAAGAAUCGUCAUCCUUUUUAAACCACUAGUCCUAAUGUUUCAAAUGAAUUUUCCAAUUUCUUUUUGGGCUGAUGUUUCCAUAGCCCGUUUCUUAACAAAUUGCAUGCCCUCUUCCAUUUUUAAGGGUGAGAUACCUUUUUGUAUCUUAUGCCCCAAACAACAUUUGUUUCUCAUUCCACCCAAAAUAAUUGGUUAUACUUGAUUUGUCCAAGACGUUCGGCCUCAACAUACAAAGUUGGAUCCAAAGACCUUAAAAUAUAUCUUUUUGGUUAUUCUCGUGUUCUUUGAACAUUCCUCCUUUUAUUCCUCACCUUCUUUCUCUUCGAAUAUGAGUCGAGGGAGUAUCAAGAGUCAAAGGAUGAUUUCUUUAUCUACAAUGUUAUCUCUCCUUCUAAUCCUCUUUGUGGUUCAUCUUCACGUGUGUUUACUUCUAUUUGUCAACCCAUCACUGAAGUCUAUGAUCGACGAUAACCUUCUUCAAUUCC